rnacentral:lncRNA from 1 species
AAAAAAACUCUUUUUUAUAAUGAUAGAAGGUGAUAGGUGUCUCUCAUUGGUUGGUAUAAAUUAAAGUCAAUUUUUAUGCCUGUGUUGGCUGUUUGCUUGCUAAGACUAUUCAAAGUUGGUGGAAAUUCAAGUCAGGUUGCUGCCCGACAUUAUUGUAUGUUGGGUUCAUCUUCUUGCCAUUAAAUUUCCUCCGCAGUUUGUUCCUCAAGCACGGGUCAUCUAGCUACUCCACAAAAAGGGUCAAACAAAAAAAACAAUAGUUUUCCAAAAAUAUAUAUAAAAAAAUUCAAAUCAGGUGGUAUUAAUGCUUAUUAGAUUAAGUGUUAAGUAUAACUUCAUUAAAAAAAAAAAACUUUCAAGUUUGAGAUCUUUAGAUGGAGAAAAUAGACUCUGGUUAAGGAAUUUAUUGUUGAAGAGUUGCAUUUAAAAUUUUUUAACUUGUAUCCUAAUAACAUUUAUUAGUAUUUUUCAUACCUUUAAAUAAGAAUACACUUAAAAUUUGUUUUCUGCACAUUCUUAAGAUUUCAA